rnacentral:tRNA from 1 species
GCCGCCGUGGCGGAAUGCAUACGCACAGCGCUCAGAACGCUGCGUCCUCCCGGACAUGGGGGUUCGAGUCCCUCCGGCGGCA